rnacentral:pre_miRNA from 1 species
AAAGAUCGCAGUUUUACACUAUUAAUAUCACCAUCUGUCUUAUUUGAAAAAAUAUGAGUAGUAUUUUUAUUGUUAUUAAAUAAUAAAACAUGAAUAAUAUUUUCUGCAUGACUAUUUUUUUAAUUUUUUCAUGAACUUUUUAAAUAAAACGGAUGGUCAAACGUUGGACAUAGAAAUCCACAACUGCACUUAAA